UGGGGAAUUUUGGACAAUGGAGGAAACUCUGAUCCAGCAAUACCGCGUGAGUGAAGAAGGCCUUCGGGUUGUAAAGCUCUUUUGUUGAAGAAAAAUACUCGGCAACGAGGAUGAUGGUAUUCAAAGAAAAAGACACCGGCUAACUCCGUGCCAGCAGCCGCGGUAAUACGGAGGGUGCAAGCGUUAAUCGGAAUAACUGGGCGUAAAGGGCAUGCAGGCGGUUUAUCAAGUAGGAUGUGAAAGCCCCGGGCUCAACUUGGGAAUUGCAUUCUAAACUGAUAGACUAGAGUAUUGCAGGGGGAGACGGAAUUCCAGGUGUAGCGGUGGAAUGCGUAGAUAUCUGGAAGAACACCAAAGGCGAAGGCAGUCUCCUGGGCAAAUACUGACGCUCAUAUGCGAAAGCGUGGGUAGCAAACAGGAUUAGAUACCCUGGUAGU
rnacentral:rRNA from 1 species